rnacentral:rRNA from 1 species
UACGAAGGGUGCAAACGUUGCUCGGAAUUAUUGGGCGUAAAGCGCACGUAGGCGGCUUAGCAAGUCGGAUGUGAAAGCCCUUGGCUCAACCAAGGAAGUGCAUCCGAAACUGCUGAGCUUGAGUACCAAAGAGGAUCGCGGAAUUCCCGGUGUAGAGGUGAAAUUCGUAGAUAUCGGGAGGAACACCAGUGGCGAAGGCGGCGACCUGGGUCGACACUGACGCUGAGGCGCGAAAGCGUGGGGAGCAAACAGG